UUAUUUCUUUCAUAUUUUAUAAAUUAUAUUUUUGCAACUAAUUAUAAAUAUUAAUCUUGACUAAAGUAGUACUUUCGGAUUCAUUUCAGUAGUAUUUCGAAUAUAACGGUGGAAAGUGGUUGUGUUCAUGUUAGUGAUCGAAAUUAUCGAUUAUUUUUCUUUUAUUUCUAAGUGAAUGUAUUUGUUUUUUCUAAAAUUUUAUCGAAAAUUUAUUUUUAAAAUGGGUAAGUGAAUAUUUUUGUUAAAAAAACCUUAAAAUUGAGAAAUGAUUUUAAAUAAUUAGUUACAGUUAGGCAUAUACAUGGGUAUAACAAUUCCUCGUUCCCUUGUUUCAUUUCAUUCCGUUCCUUUGCAUUUUGUUCCAUUCGUAUUCGAUUGUUUUUCAUCAGUGCUCGCUUGGCCGUAAUUUCCGUUUGUAGGGUCGAUAGAUGCCAGAUUAUACCAUAUAUUUCCGGUUUCACACAUCUGUCAACUUUUAAUAGAACAUUCUCGUAUAUACAAUACGCAUACGUAAUUAAAAAAAAAAGGAAACUACGUUCUAAUCUUAGUGAAAGAUGAUAUUCAGAAGUGCUAUGUAUACCUAGUAUUCGUAGAAGUGAAUUGGGUGAUAAAUCUUCGUGCUGAAUCAAAUAAAAGCAAAGGUGUUCUCAUGCAUAAAUUCCGCACGCGCGGCGUGAUGUACAUAUACCGAUGAGAUAGUGCAGGAUCAUAAAUAUUGUACAUUUUUAGUCGGUGAUCAAGAUUUCAAAGUGCAUACUUCGUUCUCAUGGUUAACCAGGCAUGUCAUUUUUUCACUUUAACCAGAGACAAGAACCUGGUUCCUCGACAUUUCUCUACUUUCUGGGUCUUAAAUAGAUAUCUGAUUGUAAUAUAAAAAAUGUGUAUUGAUAGAAAAAUAAAAAUAUGAAAAUUCGGAAAGGUAUGUAUAAAGUCUGUUGUAUAAAAAGAAACUUACUUGUGAAACCGUUCGGACAUCAUUCUGUUCCUUGAUCCUUUAGAAAUUUUUGUUACCGAUGGCAAAACAUUAUUACUAAAGACAAAAUUUAUUGGCACUUUUUUAAUAAUCACUUUUAAUAACAAUGAAUGCGAGAUUCAUAGAUUCUGCAUAUUUUUUUUUUUAAACAGUAAAAAAUCACAAGUGCCGAGUAUGGCGUCCAGCAGUGUACUGCUCAAACGAACUAAGGCUGGAAAAAUAUGAAAAAAAUCAAUCAUAUUAACGAUUGCUGGAUUAGUUGGAUUCUUUUUACCAGAGAUGAACUAAGAAAGGUUAAGACGAAAGUUACUAGCAUAGAGAGAGGACGCCGCAAUCGGUGAGUCAGUACUUUUUAUCAACUGAAAGUAUAAAUGAGACAAAUAUUUCGCGCCCAAAUUUUUAUCUUUACUUUUUACAAUUCAUACAAAAAAAUAUAUUUCACAUAUGAAUAAUAUUUGAAAGUUGUUUUAUUGAGACUUUACAACAAUCAGCAUGCAAAGAUUACAUUGAAUCUUACAGCGAUAUUCAUUUAUUUCAACGCAUUUGCUAAAUAUACAAUUGGAUUACAACAAAACUAUUUAUAUUAAGCAAAGAACAUUGUUAGUGCUGCAAAAGAUACUCUUGAUUACACUUGAAUGAU